AACAUCUUAUCUGUGUCCAAGAAGAGUUAAUUUAAACUUCCAAAUGACUAAGCAUACUCCAGUGUGUAGGUGUUUCUUUGAGAAGUGCUGUGAGGAUUAUGUUCCCAAGCAGCAAUACCAAUUUUCUUGUGGAAACUUCCCAAAACAAGGGUCCUGUCUUCAGUGUGUGCCAGGGUCUACAGCCCGUCAGCAUUAGAUGGAGCCUUCUAAUUCAUUCACACUGCUGACUUGAGUGGCUUCCAGUGUCUGCAGUUAGUUCCUCUGCUGAAUGUUCCUCACAGUGAUGUCUUGUGUUGUGGUACGAGGGGAGCUGUUACAUCAGGACAUUUGUGUACAGCUCUGUUUGAAAACUAAAGUUAUGAAGAUCUUUUGAUAAUUAUAUGUAAUUGCUCCAUGAGUUGGUCUGUCACUGUGAAAAUUCAGAAGUAGAGAAGAAGUUCAGGAAAGUACACAAAAAAUGAGGAUCCAAAAUGGUCAAUGAAAAUAAGUCAAAAAUCUCCCACUGUCCCAAUUAGUUGAAAUGAUGACACCUCACUGCCACUGUCUAAAUCUAAAUUCAUUUUUUUCCAGUCGAGGAAGAAACAAUUUCCAGUAUCAAGAGCAAAGAAGAUAUCUGACAGCAGGUUUAUUAGUACUUUCUGUUAAUAUGGAAGUAAUAGGCAGGAGUUUGUAGCUUUGACACCCAUCUUACUCUAAAUCUCUUACACCUCUGUUUGAUAAUGCUGAGAUACAUUGCCUUGAGCAGGAGGGCGUGGAAUAUCCAGCUCUGGCAGAGAAGCUUUCAACUUUUUUGAGUGUAAAAUGAGAUAAAGAGGAAGAAAGCAUACUUGCUGUCUUCCCUCCACCCUUCGUGAAUAUAAAUAAAUAACUAGAAAAAUCAAAGCAGAUGAGAUAUUGCACUGGGCAAGGAGAAUGAGAUUUUUGGAGUCCGUUGUAGAGAGGAAGGAAAAAUAAAACCAUUAAAGUGAAUAAAAUAAAAGCAAAAGUACCAAACCUAGGCUUACGUCAAAGCUUUGCAUAAUUGUCCAGAUGAAGAAAGAGAGUCAUAUGUAUAUGAAAUUGAUAAAAAUCUGAUCACACAAAUCAGAAAUGGCAAGAAAAGGUGUCCAACCAAGCAGAAGCCAAGGGCAGUAAUUGCCUGGGGCGACAUCAAAUGCUGCUCAGCAGGGCAGUGGCCGAAUGCUGAGGUAGGCUGUGGAUAUUGCUGGGGGCAUAUUGAAGGGCGCUUGGUCUGAGGAGAAAUAUCUUCUCCCUUUGUUUUGCUUUCUCUCCACAUUUCAUGAAGAAUCCUUUGCACUUUGACCUCUUGAAGGGCAUGGGUUUGACUCGCAACUGGCUCCACUACUGAAUAUUCUUUGCUGUUCACAAUGUGACACUGCCACAGCUUUACUGGCCAAGCAAACAAACAAAAGAUGGUGUAGACUUUGGCUGUAAGUGCUGGAACAGAUCACUUUUGUGUCAUUACCAGCACAUCUCUCACUUUGGACAAUUAAGCAUAAAUGUUACAAAAAUAGAGCAUCUAUAACAUGUCAGAGAGCCUUAAAUUCUUGAUGAAUCAGAAUAGAGAUCCCUGUAGUUCUAAGCAGUAGAGAAAGGAAACGGUAGCAGCAGAGCUAAGUGUGCUGCUUGAUGCAGGGCUGCAAAAUGUCACCUGCCACUGCGUGUAUAUCUAAGCCAUUAUGAAACCUACAUUGGGUGAAGAAGCAGAACAAGAAGAACAAAACUAAAAUGAUGACAAAGGAACUGUUUCUCAGUUUCAUGGUGCAUGUUACAGCUCUUGAUCAACAUCAGAUGCUCUUGAAAGCCUCUCUCUAAUGCAAAGUUGCUGGAUCUUGGCUUCUCGCCGGUUUAUAACCAGCAAGAGGCAGGAAAGGGCAAAGAGCUUUUUUCCCCUCCUUUCUAUUCCCUUACAAUAGGCAUACAGAGACCUCACCUGUAGCCUUUACUUGUCUGAGUGUUUAAUUUUGAAUUGUAGGACUUGAUUCUGAGGUAAACGAUGACUAGUUUGUAGUGUGUGCUUCUCUCUUGCUCUCUGCUGGUUUGCUUCAGAUCUGUGUUACUGUGGGGAGCAUCCUGAUUAAAAAUGUCACGCUGAGAAUAAAUAAAAGCUGACCUUGGUC
ensembl:lncRNA